AGCUCCGUUCUCCAUACAAACGUAGUUACGCUCCCAUUUUAAAACGAGUAGAUAGUUUGCUCUGAAACUUUGUACUUACAAUAGGAUAAGGCAUAUCUAUGUCUAUAAUUAGUUUAAAACUUCAUAGUUAAAAAAAUACAGCGAAUUUAAGUUUUUCAUACAAAACUUGUUUUUGCUCUAUUUCGUUUGUUUUAUAAAUUGUAGCUAUAAAAACUAAUUACAGUACUAGAUAAACGUAGU